rnacentral:rRNA from 1 species
AUUGAACGCUGGCGGCAGGCCUAACACAUGCAAGUCGAGCGGAUGAAGGGAGCUUGCUCCUGGAUUCAGCGGCGGACGGGUGAGUAAUGCCUAGGAAUCUGCCUGGUAGUGGGGGAUAACGUCCGGAAACGGGCGCUAAUACCGCAUACGUCCUGAGGGAGAAAGUGGGGGAUCUUCGGACCUCACGCUAUCAGAUGAGCCUAGGUCGGAUUAGCUAGUUGGUGGGGUAAAGGCCUACCAAGGCGACGAUCCGUAACUGGUCUGAGAGGAUGAUCAGUCAAACUGGAACUGAGACACGGUCCAGACUCCUACGGGAGGCAGCAGUGGGGAAUAUUGGACAAUGGGAGAAAGCCUGAUCCAGCCAUGCCGCGUGUGUGAAGAAGGUCUUCGGAUUGUAAAGCACUUUAAGUUGGGAGGAAGGGCAGUAAGUUAAUACCUUGCUGUUUUGACGUUACCAACAGAAUAAGCACCGGCUAACUUCGUG